rnacentral:lncRNA from 1 species
AUGAAGUAUCAAAAGAUUAAUAUUGGUACCAAAAUCAUGUCGAGAAUGAGAUUUAAUUUGUUUCGGCAAUUCUCCAAGUUUAUUAUGAGUUCUUGUAACCAAUAUGAUGUUGGAAUAUUGGCCCAAAUUAUUGUUUCUACUUUUCCCUUUAGGCGACCACUUUGGAGAAAGGAAAAGGCAAAGGCAAGUGGGGACAUGCAACAAAUCAUGGCGCCUAACGUAUGGUUUUGGGCAUUCUUUUCAUUGAGCACUUCAAAUAAAGUGUGGGACUUUCGUUUUUCUGAUGUAUAA